CAAUAGCGUAUAUUAAAGUUGUUGCAGUUAAAAAGCUCGUAGUUGGACCUUGGACCUGGACAGGCGGUCCGCCUCACGGCGUGUACUGUCUUGCUGGGUCUUUCCUCUUGGUGAUCUGUUGUUUCGGCAGCAGGGAGCCAGGACUUUUACUUUGAAAAAAUUAGAGUGUUCAAAGCAGGCUCGACGCCGGAAUAUAUUAGCAUGGAAUAAUAAAAUAGGGCGUGCGGUUCUAUUUUGUUGGUUUUUGGAAUCGCCGUAAUGAUUAAUAGGGACAGUCGGGGGCAUUAGUACUCACAUGCUAGAGGUGAAAUUCUUGGAUUUUGUGAAGACUAACUUCUGCGAAAGCAUUUGCCAAGGAUGUUUUCAUUAA
rnacentral:rRNA from 1 species